rnacentral:rRNA from 1 species
CCUACGGGAGGCAGCAGUGAGGAAUAUUGGUCAAUGGCCUAGAGGCUGAACCAGCCAAGUCGCGUUAGGGAAGACGGCCCUACGGGUUGUAAACCUCUUUUGUCGGGGCGCAAAGAGCGUCACGUGUGACUCAUUGAGAGUCACCGAAGAAAACGCAUCGGCUAACUCCGUGCCAGCAGCCGCGGUAAUCCUGGGGAUGCGAGCGUUAUACGGAUUUAUUGGGUUUAACGGGUGCGCAGGCGGAGGUGCAAGUCAGCGGUCAAGUUGCGGGGCUCAACCCCGUACUGCCGUUGAAACUGCAUCCCUUGAGUGCGCGAGAAGUAUGCGGAAUGCGUGGUGUAGCGGUGAAAUGCAUAGAUAUCACGCAGAACUCCGAUUGCGAAGGCAGCAUACCGGCGCGCAACUGACGCUCAUGCACGAAAGCGUGGGUAUCGAACAGGAUUAGAUACCCCAGUAGUC